AUUGAACGCUGGCGGCAUGCCUUACACAUGCAAGUCGAACGGCAGCACGGGGGCGAACCCUGGUGGCGAGUGGCGAACGGGUGAGUAAUGCAUCGGAACGUGCCCAGUAGUGGGGAGUAACUAGUCGAAAGAUUAGCUAAUACCGCAUACGACCUAUGGGUGAAAGCGGGGGAGUUCGCAAGAACCUCGCGCUAUCGGAGCGGCCGAUGUCUGAUUAGCUAGUUGGCGGGGUAAAAGCCCACCAAGGCUUCGAUCAGUAGCUGGUCUGAGAGGACGACCAGCCACACUGGGAC
rnacentral:rRNA from 1 species